rnacentral:lncRNA from 1 species
GUGAGACUCACUGGGCCUCCUGCACCUUCAUUUCAUGUCAUUAAAGUUUACCUCUAGGUUUUUAAAGCUUGGUUCCUACCUUUUACUUUUCUUCUUGCUGCCAGUGGGAAUAACUCUCAAAAGUCAUCUUUUAUACAGCUAAAUUGUUUCUUCCCAUUGCAUUAAGGCAUCCAGGUACAAUGGUGGGACAGUCAGACCUUUCAUUCUCUGGGCUGUGGGAGCCUGUGAAACCUGUCUGCUGAGUGUUUCCAAAACCAAGUCCUGUAGAACACAGGGCCCAUGAAAUAGUCUUCAAAAUGUAAGUUCAGUGGUCAAAUAUUUUUGGAAAAUGUGUCACACUCUAUCUAUCCUGUGAGGUCCCAAUGCAUAUUGGCAGAUAAAGACAGAGAAAUCCUACAGCAAGAAACCUGUUUCACCCAGGGUUUCCUAAAUUUAUUUAGUCAAGGAAACCCAUUUCUGCAUUUCCCACAUCCUUUGGGAAGUGCUGUUAUAGACAAUAACAACCCCUUCCAGGAGCAUGGUAUCUGCUUUAGUUUGGAUAUGGUGUAACUGUGCCCCUCCAUGUUUUGUGUGCUGGAAUUUAGUCCUCAGAGAUGUGGUGAGGUGGUAGAACCUUCAGGAGGAAGGGUCUAGAGGAAGGUAAUUAGGACCAGGGGCUCUGCUCUUGAAGGGAUUAAUAUUGGUCUCAUGGGGCAGAUUAGUUUCUAUAAGAAUGUGGAAACUUGGUUCCUCCAUGAACCUCUCUUCUGCUAAUGCUUGCUUACCACUCUAGCUUGCACUCCCACCAUGUGAAUCUGUCGGGAGACCCUCACCAGAGCCAAGCAGAUGCUGACACCAUGCUAAACAAACCUAUUUUCUUUACAUAGUACUUGGCCUCAGCUACUUUGUUGCAGCAAUACAAAAUGAACUACGACAGCACCUAAUAUUUUACAUUUUGUUAGAGCAGUACUGCAAAAGCAAUUUUUAUUUUACAGGCGAUGACAUUGAUGGGUCAAGAUGUUGAUGACUUAUACUAAAGAAGGCAGCCGCAGGUAGGAGGCAUAUGAAAAUUGUGUCUCUGAUUUGUAGGGUGAGAUAUUAUCACCAAACUUUUUGGUCUUUUUUUUUGGAGGUCAUCUGCACCCUUCUAGUUGGAUUUAGAAAACACACACACACACACACACACACACACGGGCCACAUUAUAGUCAAGUUAUUAUUACUUCAAAAAAAAAAAAAAACACCAUGGAGUGUGUGUGUGUAGAGGGGACAAAGUAAUAAAAUUCCUGUUUAGUGUAGAGGGAGCUUCACAUACUUCACAACCAUUCUGAGAGGUAACCAUCAUGGCUCCUAUUUAAUAGAGGAGAACACAGAAGCUCAGAGAGGUUAGAUAGCUUUCCAGGGCCAUACCGAGAUGCUCGGCCAGGUUUUACAUUUGUGUUUGAUUCUAAAAGCUUUCUUUGUGCUCCUGUGCCACUACCUUUUUCUAGUGAACAGCAUCAUCUGUCUCAUCUUAGAGCCAAUAGUGUGCACUAGAUUUAUCCGGGUGCCUUGGAGGAUUAGCCCGAUGUGUGUUCCAGAAGGUUGUUUAGAUAAGAAUGGCUCCUCCCCUAGGUUCAAGAGGAAUGAAUGUUGAGAAUUAGUAACUCUGUGCUUAAAAGAGAUCAAAGGGAGUUUGUGCUUAAAUAACUUGACAGUGUUUUGCCCCACCCUGAAAAGUGGAUUUGGGACUUUAUCCCCCUAAUGGAAAGAAUAGUUGGUGCCUUAUUAGGGAGCAGAGAAAAACUACAAGACAGGGCCUGGAGACUCUUCAGGCCAAGAAUCUGCUAGUAUAGGAAAAGCCAUAGCAGAAGGAAGAAGACUCAGGGUCCAGUCUGGGCUGCACACUCAGAGUGAGAUCUGGGCAGGGGUCUUAACAUCCCUUGGCCUCAGAUCCUUUGGAAAAUAAAGAGCUACGAGAAGAUGUCCAGAGGUGAUAAUCACUUCGGGGCUCAGUUUCUCUCUGGAGGCCAGAGGGACCCAUUGUCAAGCCUGGAUUAUGUUCUGCUACCCAGUAGGGGAGAGAGUUUGGUGACUCUAACCUUCAAAAGUGAAAACAGAGGGAGGAAUCCUAGACUUUAUUUCUAGCAGAAAGAGCAUAUGGACCACAGAAGGAUCAUAAAAAAUGCUGGAACCUGAGAACUUGGGAUGCUUUCUUCCCAAGAUUACUGGGUUACUUGAGUUUUGUGUUCCUGGUAGGGGAUUUGUAGAGGGUUUGUUGGUUAUUUUUAGGGAGGUAGUUGGUGUAGGGGUACAGGACCACAUCGUUUUGAACCUGGCAACCCAUCUUCCCGCCCAGCUCGGGCAAGGAGGACCCUCGGGGUAGGUAGACAAAGGAAGCAGAGUUAAGUCCUGAAACUUGUGAUGGGGAAGCAGACAGAGCUACUUGCCAGCCUAAGCCUGAAAAGGGAGACUGAGUCUGAGCAGCAGAAGUUUCCAGAGGCUUCUAUGCUGGGAGAUUGGCUUAUGGGACUUCUCAGCUCCCUCUGCUCCCGUGUUACACGUUGACUUCCUUUCCCUGCCUUCUGUGAGCAACGCAGAAAACACCAGCACCACAGAGGAGCUCAGACUUGAGUGUGACUCACUGAAGAGUCUGGGCUGUCAGGCCUCAGACAAUUCAGAUCACAAUCAGCUCCCUCCCCGGCCCCACACCUGUGAGGCCUCCCCCAGAGGAAAGUCUUGGUCACCUGCCCUUAUUUCCAUGGGGUAAACACGGGGUGCAAGUGUGGUUCGGGGCUCACAGAGACCAGACUGGGCACAGGAUUUCAGAUGUCGUGAGGGCCUCCUAGGGACCACUGACAGUUUGACCAAGAAAAAAAGAUCUUAAGAGAGCUCACCUCACAGGCUCAACUGUGGGAGAGAGAUGGGAAGGCAGCCACGCCUGGAUUCCAAAGUGUGGGUGGACUUCAUCAGUAGCACCAGCUGUCAGGACCCACCCUCAGGCCUCUGGGCCACACCCUCAGAGCAAAGCUCCUGCUUUUCCCACCCGUGAGAGUUCUUGAGCUUUUCCAGCACUGGCGCUGGACACAGAACAGUGACGCUUAAAUAUUUCAUCUCCAGGGAAGACCAACCUGUGGGCCAAGGCUGACGCCAUAGCUUGGAGGUGAGCAUGCAGGUUCCCAGAGGACAGGGACCAGCCUAGAGCACCUCCACCCAGUACUGUCUUCAUGGGUUUGUUGAAUGCCUGAUUAGUGAGGAGGGAUGGCAAGUAGCAGUCACUGAGUAUGAUGGGAGAUCUUGAGAAAGCAGAGGUCUUUGGACCUGGUUUUGAAGAGAGAAAGGAAGAAUGAGGAGGGAGUCCUUACUGAGCACCUACUCUGAGGAACAGAUAUUAUGGCUGGCACUUCACAUGAUCCACUCUUUUAAAAUCCUAGCCAGGACUUUCAACCUUCUUUACGAGCAGAGGCUUGAGAGGAGAAGUGCAUCACCCUGAGAGCCAAAGUCAGGUGCGUAAAACUAGGUCUUCAGACUUCCUUGCCUUAUGUGGUUAGGCUGUUAUUUCCCCAAAUUUAUAAGGAAGACUGAAGCCCAGAAAAGCAAAUUUGUAGAAGACAGAAUGGAGACUGGAAUCCAGAACUUGGUCCUCAGUGCUAUGCUCCUGAGGACCACUUUGCUGACUACCUAAUGUUCUUCUGUCACAGACAGCUCUCCCUGGGGCAUUUCCCAUUGCCUGGAUCUGGCUGUGCCCCGAAGCCCUCAUCUUCUCCCUCAUCUGCUCAUGCUACACCUUCAGGGAAAGCUGACAUCUGGUCCACAGCUGGCCCAAGCAGGGCCCAUGCAACUCUAUGGCAGGGAAUGUGUGUUUCAUGUGUUUAUUUUUCUUUUCUUGCUGUAACAAAAUUGGAUAAUGAGCCUGAUGAUUGAAGUCCCAGCCAGAGAGUGGGCAGGAGUCCUGGCUCUGUCACUGGCUUGAACUGUGCCACUGCAGUGCCCUCUCUGGGUCUAGUUGAUCCCAUCCAUAGCACAUGAGGUUGCAUAAAAUGACAUCUGAGAUCUUUUCCCAGUGCUGAUCUUCUAGAAAUCUAUGUGAAACAGGUCACUCUACAUAUACUAGAAGAGUCAAAUAUGCUCUCCAUGUUCUGAACUCCAAAAAUUAAAUAUGCACAAAACAUUUUGAUGAUUAAAUCAAACCUAGGCAUUUUCUAUUCCCUUUAUUUUUAUCCUUGAAUGAAUUUUUCAGAGGUCUUCAUUUUGGGAGAAAAAUGUAUUUUCUCUAUACAAAUGCAUAGAAUUUCAAACUCUUUUUGUUAUUCACAUACUUUUUUAAAAAAUAAAAAUUAAUCAAUGGGUUGAAAAAAGUGAAAGUCUAUGGAAGUCUUUCUGGGGACCCCAUUGAUCUCCAUUUUGUUAGGGUUCAUUUUAUGUGUCAACUUGGCGUGGCUCUGAUUCCCAAUUGCUUGGUCAAAUACUAGUCCAGAUGUUGUUGUAAAGAUAUUUGUGGAUGUGAUCAACAGUUAUAAUCAGUUGACUUUAAGCAAAGCAGAUUACCUUUCAUAAUGUGGGUGGACCUCAUUCAAUUCAUUGAAGGCUUUAAGAACAAAGAUUGUAUUUUCCCAGAGAAGAAGGGAUUCUUUCCUGAGAUUCAGCAUUAGCCCUGCCUGCAUCUGAGUUUCCAGCAUACCAACUUGCUCUGUGGAUUUUGAACUUGCGAGCUUGCAUAAGCCUGUUCAUCAAUUCCUUAAAAUAAAUCUUAAUCUUUCUAUUAUCUAUCUAUAUCCUAUUAUCCUAUUUCUCUGAGGGGCCUGAC